CGCACAUUGCGCCCCUUGGUAUUCCGGGGGGCAUGCCUGUUCGAGCGUCAUUAUACCCCUCAAGCUCAGCUUGGUGUUGGGGCGUACCGUCCGCGGUAGCUCUUAAAAUCAGUGGCGGUGCCGCCUGGCCCUAAGCGUAGUAAUAAUCCUCGCUACAGGGUCCCGGUGGAUGCUUGCCAGUAACCCCAAUUUUUUAUGGUUGACCUCGGAUCAGGUAGGGAUACCCGCUGAACUUAA
rnacentral:misc_RNA from 1 species